GGUUAAGUGACUAAGCGUACACGGUGGAUGCCUUGGCAGUUGGAGGCGAUGAAGGACGUAUUAACUUGCGAUAAGCCUAGUCAAGCUAGUAAAAAGCGCUUGAGACUAGGAUUUCCGAAUGGGGAAACCCACCUGCUUGCAGGUAUCGUUAACUGAAUACAUAGGUUAACGAGGCGAACGCGGAGAACUGAAACAUCUAAGUACCCGUAGGAAAAGAAAUCAACCGAGAUUCCGAUAGUAGCGGCGAGCGAAAUCGGAACAGCCCUUAAGCUUAUUAUGUGUUAAUGGAAGGCUCUGGAAAGUGCCACGAUACAGGGUGAUAGUCCCGUACAUGAAAACGCAUUUUAAGUGAAAUCGAGUAGGUCGGAGCACGUGAAACUUUGACUGAAUAUAGGUGGACCAUCAUCUAAGGCUAAAUACUCCCAACUGACCGAUAGUGAACCAGUACCGUGAGGGAAAGGCGAAAAGAACCCCUGUGAGGGGAGUGAAAUAGAACCUGAAACCGUGUACGUACAAGCAGUAGGAGCCCACUUGUUGGGUGACUGCGUACCUUUUGUAUAAUGGGUCAGCGACUUAUAUUUUGUAGCGAGGUUAACCGUUUAGGGUAGCCGUAGGGAAACCGAGUCUUAACUGGGCGAAUAGUUGCAAGGUAUAGACCCGAAACCCGGUGAUCUAGCCAUGGGCAGGUUGAAGGUUGAGUAACAUCAACUGGAGGACCGAACCCACUAACGUUGAAAAGUUAGGGGAUGACCUGUGGCUAGGAGUGAAAGGCUAAUCAAACCGGGAGAUAGCUGGUUCUCCCCGAAAUCUAUUUAGGUAGAGCCUCGGACGAAUACUUACGGGGGUAGAGCACUGUUAAGGCUAGGGGGUCAUCCCGACUUACCAACCCUUUGCAAACUCCGAAUACCGUAAAGUACUAUCCGGGAGACACACGGUGGGUGCUAACGUCCAUCGUGAAGAGGGAAACAACCCAGACCGCCAGCUAAGGUCCCAAAGUCAUAGUUAAGUGGGAAACGAUGUGGAAAGGCCCAGACAGCCAGGAGGUUGGCUUAGAAGCAGCCAUCCUUUAAAGAAAGCGUAAUAGCUCACUGGUCGAGUCGGUCUGCGCGGAAGAUGUAACGGGGCUAAACUAUGCACCGAAGCUGCGGAUUCAAAAUUUAUUUUGAGUGGUAGGGGAGCGUUCUGUAAGCGGUUGAAGGUGUACCGGGAGGUAUGCUGGACGUAUCAGAAGUGCGAAUGCUGACAUGAGUAACGAUAAUGCGGGUGAAAAACCCGCACGCCGGAAGACCAAGGGUUCCUAUCCCAUGUUAAUCAGGGUAGGGUAAGUCGACCCCUAAGGCGAGGCCGAAAGGCGUAGUCGAUGGGAAACGGAUUAAUAUUUCCGUACUUGGUAUAAUUGCGAUGGGGGGACGGAGAAGGCUAAACAAGCAUGGCGUUGGUUGUCCAUGUGAAAGUGAGUAGGUUAGUGACUUAGGUAAAUCCGGGU
rnacentral:rRNA from 1 species